rnacentral:rRNA from 1 species
UGCGGUAAUUUGACCGUGCAAAGGUAGCAUAAUCAAUAGUCCUUUAAUUGGGGGCUUGGAUGAAAGGUUUGACGGAUGARGAGCUGUCUCUCUGGUUGUAUUGAAUUUAACAUUUGUGUGAAAGGGCAUUAAUGAUUUAGGGGGACGAUAAGACCCUAUAAAAUUUAACAUGUGUUAUACUAGUUUUUGGAAUUGUUUAGUAAYUAAAAGUUGGUUGGGUAUGUUUUGCUGGGGCGGCAUGAAUAUAAUUUGUAACUGUUUUAGAAAAGAAAUAUUGAUUGAUAGGUGGUGGUCCUUUAUUAAGGAGUGAAGAGUAAGUUACUUUAGGGAU